GCACAGUUGUCCGCUCCAGGCACAGCAGACCCUCAGCCAACAAUGAACAAGUACUUCGCUCUAUUCGUGGUGCUGGCGGCCCUGGUGGCUGUGAGCGUGGCCGUGCCGUACCCCGCGCCGUACCCGGUGGCCGCCCCCGCCGCCGCCGCCCCCGCGCCCGCCGGCAAGGAGUCGCUCAAGGGCCAGGAGGCGGUGUACGUGGGCUACGCCGGCUACCCCUACCUGUACGGCGCGCCCGUCGCAUACCUGGGCUGAGCGGCCGGCAGCCACACCGCUCGACGACCCGGACAUGGACCUCGCUGCUCACGACGACUGCUCCACGCGCUUUUCCCUCUUCGUUAUCGGCGUACGCUGCCAUCUACUGUCUCUCUUCCUGCGUCAUCUUACGAAAUAAACGUUUGUAGAUAAACA